ensembl:lncRNA
UGAAGAUCAUGGCCUGUUCGAGGGUGUCUUUGUCUGUAAAGAUGAAGAUGUUUCCAAGUUUGUGGACUACAUUAAUGCUAAGACAAAGCACUCAGCUGGAAAAGGUGUCUGUGGAUCAAGUCAAUGGAGUGCAGCACGGGAGUCUGUCCCAAAGAAAAUCAACAAGCUGGAUGAGGAGGGGAUGGAGGUGGCUGUCUGUCGACAUGGUGUGCUCCUGAGAAGUCUGAACAUGAUGAGGGGGGAAAUAUUUGCGUAUCCCCUGUUUCUCCAAAAAGAGCUGACUGCAAAGAAUGUGCAGUUCAUGUGCACUGAUGUUAUAUGCAAGUACUGGCCAUACCUGCAGAGAAUUGUUAAAGAUUGUCCAGAGCUCUCUCCUCUCCUGGACAUGAAGCCUUUCCUGUCAGUGAUGCAUGCAAAGGCCCACUCUUGGAAAUGUGAGAUUAAAUGGGGUGGUCGAAACCAAGAAGGAGCAGGCACCACCCUGGGGGAAGAGGUCGAACAAGUUAACAGCUUUUUGUCGAGAACUGCUAUAUGCAGUAAAUACAUGACCAAAGGAGGCAAAACAGACAUGAUUACAAUCCAGGCCAUGGCAUGGAAUCAGCGCAAAAUACGGAAACUUGCAAAAGCGCUGUCCCUAAGAUUUAAAAA